rfam:Clostridiales bacterium GWC2_40_7 gwc2_scaffold_22322, whole genome shotgun sequence.
AGAAUGCUACACGGAAAGGUCUAGCCAACCACCGUUACUCAGCCUUGGAACCGAAAAAGAAAUUUUAGGUUUAAGCGUAGGUGGAGGAGAUGGCGAGCCGUAUACGAAAGUGAGGGUAAUGAGCCCCGUUAGUCUAAAUGAGAAGGCCGAUGUGCUGGGACAAACAGCAGGCAACAUUCUUCUGGGCGUAAAAGGCGAGUACAGAAGGAC